rnacentral:rRNA from 1 species
UACGUAGGGGGCGAGCGUUGUCCGGAUUUAUUGGGCGUAAAGAGCUCGUAGGCGGUUUGGUAAGUCGGGUGUGAAAUCUCCACGCUCAACGUGGAGGGGCCACUCGAUACUGCCAUGACUCGAGUCCGGUAGAGGAGUGUGGAAUUCCCGGUGUAGCGGUGAAAUGCGCAGAUAUCGGGAGGAACACCGAUGGCGAAGGCAGUUCUCUGGGCCGUAACUGACGCUGAGGAGCGAAAGCGUGGGGAGCGAACAGG